rnacentral:rRNA from 1 species
AAUAGAUACCCAGGUAGUCCACGCCGUAAACGAUGUCAACUAGCUGUUGGUCAUAUGAAUGUGAUUAGUGGCGAAGCUAACGCGAUAAGUUGACCGCCUGGGGAGUACGGUCGCAAGAUUAAAACUCGAAAGGAAUUGACGGGGGCCCGCACAAGCGGUGGAGCAUGUGGUUUAAUUCGAUGCAACGCGAAGAACCUUACCUACCCUUGACAUACAGUGAAUUUUGCAGAGAUGCGAAAGUGCCUUCGGGAACACUGAUACAGGUGCUGCAUGGCUGUCGUCAGCUCGUGUCGUGAGAUGUUGGGUUAAGUCCCGUAACGAGCGCAACCCUUAUUCUUAGUUGCCAGCGCGUAAAGGCGGGAACUCUAAGGAGACUGCCGGUGACAAACCGGAGGAAGGCGGGGACGACGUCAAGUCAUCAUGGCCCUUACGGGUAGGGCUACACACGUGCUACAAUGGCCAGUACAGAGGGCAGCGAAGGGGUGACCUGGAGCCGAAUCUUACAAAGCUGGUCGUAGUCCGGA